ensembl:lncRNA novel transcript, antisense to PCDHA5, PCDHA4, PCDHA3, PCDHA2 and PCDHA1
AUAAUCUUUGUUCUUGUCUGGAGAACCUGGGCGGAUUGUCAUUGAUGUCCUUCACUGCCACCUCCACAUGGAAAACCUGCAGCGGCCUGUCCACGAUCACCUCCAGGUGGAUGCUGCACUCCGCCCUCCGCCGGCACAGCUCCUCCCGGUCGAUCCGAGAAUUCACAAACAAAAUGCCAUUCUGCAGAUUUACCUCCAGAAGGUCCCCGCGGCCCUUGGACGCCACCCGGAACAGGCGCGGCACCAGCUCCGCCAGCUCCAGCCCUAGGUCCUGCGCGAUGCGGCCAACGAAGGUUCCGUGUUUGGCUUCCUCCGGGAUCGAGUAGUGGAGCUGGCCGCUCCCUGCCUUCCAGUAGGCAAGGAGAAGCCAGAGCAGCAGGAGCCGGGAUCCCAGACUUCCUCUCCGGGAAUAUACCAUCUCAAUCUCGUUCCAAUUAUGAGCUUUCUAUUGCAUCACCACACAAUGUAUUUUGUAAAUUCAAUUCCCAAUUAACUAUAUAUUUUUUAUAUUAUCGCCUUUCUGAGCUUCUUGGCACAGCCAAAAAUGGAAGGUUCUUUUCCUUUCUGUCUAAGGAAAAUCUACUCACUGUAUUCCUUUGAGGCUGGGAAGGGAGAAAAACCUUCCGGUGUCCAGCGACAUCAUGUGGAUGAAAGGUUCCAUUCAAGACAAAACUGCCAUUAAUAGGAUAUCUACAUUCAAUGGUAUGAUUUAUUUCAACGUUAGUGAACACCUUGAAGACAUUUUUUAAAGUGAUAUUUGAAAAGAUGAUUAGACAAGUUAAAUAUGAAAAAUAUUUAAAGCCAAAACUCGAAAGUUGGACUUACAUUACCAGAAAGAUCCAAAUUUGCUUCUGGUUGUUCAUUUCUUUCUGACGUGUUAAGACUUGGAGAUAGGCCUGGGCUGAAGGCCAUGAGGUCGGUCUUGGGUGGGCCCUCGCUAGAGCACACCCUCUGCCGCCUCUGCUGUGAGUUCGACCAGCUCCCCAACGCGCUGGAGCACACCAGAGUGGGCUUGCCCGGCACAUACGCACCCUCAGUGGGCGGCACUGAGCA